rnacentral:rRNA from 1 species
GAUCAUGGCUCAGGAUGAACGCUAGCUACAGGCUUAACACAUGCAAGUCGAGGGGCAGCAUGUAUCUGGCUUGCCAGAUAUGAUGGCGACCGGCGCACGGGUGAGUAACGCGUAUCCGACCUGCCGCACACUCCGGGAUAGCCUUGCGAAAGCAAGUUUAAUACCGGAUGCCGUAAUGGCGCCGCAUGGUGUUUUUACGAAAAGGGGAUUUACCGGUGUGCGAUGGGGAUGCG